rnacentral:rRNA from 1 species
AGUGAACGCUGGCGGUAGGCCUAACACAUGCAAGUCGAACGGCAGCACAGUAAGAGCUUGCUCUUACGGGUGGCGAGUGGCGGACGGGUGAGGAAUACAUCGGAAUCUACUUUUUCGUGGGGGAUAACGUAGGGAAACUUACGCUAAUACCGCAUACGACCUACGGGUGAAAGCAGGGGAUCUUCGGACCUUGCGCGAUUGAAUUAGCCGAUGUCGGAUUAGCUAGUUGGCGUGGUAACGGCCCACCAAGGCAACGAUCCGUAGCUGAUCUGAGAGGAUGAUCGGCCACACGGGAACUGAGACACGGUCCAGACUCCUACGGGAGGCAGCAGUAGGGAAUCUUCCGCAAUGGGCGAAAGCCUGACGGAGCAACGCCGCGUGAGUGAUGAAGGUCUUCGGAUCGUAAAACUCUGUUAUUAGGGAAGAACAAAAGUGGAAGUAACCAUGCACGUCUUGACGGUACCAAAUCAGAAAGCCACGGCUAACUACGUG